GACGAACGCUGGCGGCGUGCUUAACACAUGCAAGUCGAGCGGUAAGGCCCUUUCGGGGUACACGAGCGGCGAACGGGUGAGUAACACGUGGGUGACCUGCCCUUAGCUCUGGGAUAAGCCUGGGAAACUGGGUCUAAUACCGGAUAUGACCUCAUGACUCAUGUUGUGGGGUGGAAAGCCUUGUGCGGCUAGGGAUGGGCCCGCGGCCUAUCAGCUUGUUGGUGGGGUAAUUGCCUACCAAGGCGACGACGGGUAGCCGGCCUGAGAGGGCGACCGGCCACACUGGGACUGAGACACGGCCCAGACUCCUACGGGAGGCAGCAGUGGGGAAUCUUGCGCAAUGGGCGAAAGCCUGACGCAGCGACGCCGCGUGAGGGAUGAC
rnacentral:rRNA from 1 species